GAAAAUAAGACAAAAAGGCACAGAUUAAUGGUUCUUUUGUCAAACUUCUGUUCAGUACUAUCUAAUAUAUUAAACCUCUUUUAAGAUGGUAAACCAUAUGUAUUUGAUAGUUGGAUUUUUAAACCCGUUUUAAUUGAGUCACAGAAUCCAGAAGACACCCGUAUGUACAAGUUUUGAUAUUAAAGAUGUUCAAUGCCAUGAUAUUUAAAAAUGAAGGUAAA
rnacentral:misc_RNA from 1 species